UAACCUGGAGGAAGGUGGGGAUGACGUCAAAUCAUCAUGCCCCUUAUGCUUAGGGCUACACACGGGCUACAAUGGGUAGUACAGAGGGUUGCCAAGCCGUAAGGCGGAGCUAAUCCCUUAAAGCUACGCUCAGUUCGGAUUGUAGGCUGAAACUCGCCUACAUGAAGCUGGAGUUACUAGUAAUCGCAGAUCAGAAUGCUGCGGUGAAUGCGUUCCCGGGUCUUGUACACAC
rnacentral:rRNA from 1 species